CCUACGGGAGGCAGCAGUGGGGAAUUUUGGACAAUGGGCGCAAGCCUGAUCCAGCAAUGCCGCGUGCAGGAUGAAGGCCUUCGGGUUGUAAACUGCUUUUGUACGGAACGAAACGGUCUGCCCUAAUACGGUGGGCUAAUGACGGUACCGUAAGAAUAAGCACCGGCUAACUACGUGCCAGCAGCCGCGGUAAUACGUAGGGUGCAAGCGUUAAUCGGAAUUACUGGGCGUAAAGCGUGCGCAGGCGGUUAUAUAAGACAGAUGUGAAAUCCCCGGGCUCAACCUGGGACCUGCAUUUGUGACUGUAUAGCUAGAGUACGGUAGAGGGGGAUGGAAUUCCGCGUGUAGCAGUGAAAUGCGUAGAUAUGCGGAGGAACACCGAUGGCGAAGGCAAUCCCCUGGACCUGUACUGGCGCUCAUGCACGAAAGCGUGGGGAGCAAACAGGAUUAGAUACCCUGGUAGUCCACGCCCUAAACGAUGUCAACUGGUUGUUGGGUCUUCACUGACUCAGUAACGAAGCUAACGCGUGAAGUUGACCGCCUGGGGGAGGACGGCCGCGAGUAGUAACGACGAAGAAGUAGACGGCGUGAGACGUAGACCGACGACGACGACGAGGGAGGAGG
rnacentral:rRNA from 1 species